UUGAGACUCUUUUAGAUAACUAGGCUGUGUCAAGCUGAGAGCUGACACUAAUUAGGAUGACUGUAAGUGUUCAGAUUAUAAAGGAGACUAAACCCUUCCAUCAUUUGCUUUGUCAGGAAUGUUGUCACAAAGUAAUAAAAGGAACCAAGAGAGGAAGAGGAAGGGCGUGGGGAAGGACAUGUGCCCUACGAGGCAGCAUCACUUACAGUUUCCCCCAUGUGCAGUGCCAUUCACUCUACCUCGUAUCCUCUACGGUUUUCACAGAACCUCCUGCAACAUCCAGACAGAAAGCAGGGAUCAAAGGGAGGUAGUCUCACUCUGACCCCUUUCUGGUGUCUGAUAUUCUUCAGAGCCUCUAACAUAUCUUCUGUGGCUUAACCUGUGCACCCCAAACAGUCUUUAUUAGCUUCCUGAAGAACGCAUACAGACUAGGAUGCAUCUUCUUGCACUUCAGACCCCACUGGCCCUCACUGUGGACCAUGAGGUGUCCGCUUACCUUCUGUAGUCG
rnacentral:lncRNA from 1 species